rnacentral:rRNA from 1 species
AUGGAUUGUGAAUUAACUGACUUGGACUUCUCGGGCCCUAAAUUUCCAUGGUGCAACAAGCAGGAGUUGAAUUGCCAUGUCAAAUGUCAUCUUGACUGGGCCGUGGCAAAUGGAGCUUUCACCAGUUUGUUUGAUAUUUGUGGGGUGGAGAAUCUCAUCGCCACUACCUUUGAUCACUACCCCAUAAUGAUUUCCUUGUGCUAUAAUGAUCUUCAGAGUCGCCCUACACCAGUACAGCAAUUCAUGUUUGAAGCUAUGUGGCUGCGUGCGGAGGAUUACAAAGAAACACUCGAAUAGGCAUGGUCGGAUGGUAGGGAUGGCAGUCCUUCCCUGCAAUCUACAUGGUCUAACUUAAAUCAUGUAGAUGGUUCUCUGCGGACUUGGAGCAGCGAGGCUUUUGGUAGUGUCCGGAGGAAGAUAAGGAAGUUGGAGCGCCGCCUAGUUACUAUUAGGGCUUCGCCCCCUUCGCCUUCUUCGCUCACGGAGGAACGGUCUAUCGAGAACCAACUUUGUGAGCUUUUCGAGUGGGAGGAGACAUUGGAGAGAUAGUGCUCCCGCGACUGGCUUAAGGUAGGAGACCGAAAUACUGAAUUCUUCCAUGCUAGAGAGACGACACAUUGUAGGACGAACAUAAUUCAGUCAUUGAUCCAUGAGGAUGGUUCUAUUUGCAUCUCCCAGGGGGAAAUUAAAGGUAUGGUGCAGAGUUUUUAUGACAAGCUAUUCACUUCUGAACGAUGCCCAAAAGCUGAUGAAGUCAUUGAAGCUAUCCCUCAAAAGAUCACGACUGAGAUGAAUGAAGAACUAUGCAAGCCUUACAGUAAUGAGGAAAUUAGGACUGCUGUAUUCCAAAUGGGUCCAACGAAAGCCCGGGGUCCUGAUGGGCUCCCGACUCUUUUCUACCAAACUCAUUGGAAUUUUCUGGAAGAUGAUAUUUGUCAGGCUGUGCGGGGAUUCCUCGAGGGAAGACCUAUUCCAGAGGGGUUUUGUGAUUCUAUGAUUGUUCUAAUUCCCAAGAUGGCUAGACCGAAGCAAUUGAAAAUUUUCUGCCCGAUCAGUCUUUGCAACAUCUCUAUAAAAUUGCUUCCAAGGUCUUGGCAAAUCGAUUGA